GGGGGCAUAGCCAAGCGGUAAAGGCAGAGGUCACCAAAACCUCGAUCCCGGUUCCGAAUCCGGGUGCUCCCUCCA
rnacentral:tRNA from 1 species